rnacentral:rRNA from 1 species
CCUACGGGGGACAGCAGUGAGGAAUAUUGGUCAAUGGACGGAAGUCUGAACCAGCCAUGCCGCGUGCAGGAAGACGGCUCUAUGAGUUGUAAACUGCUUUUGUACAAGGGUAAACCUGAAUACGUGUAUUCAGCUGAAAGUACUGUACGAAUAAGGAUCGGCUAACUCCGUGCCAGCAGCCGCGGUAAUACGGAGGAUCCAAGCGUUAUCCGGAUUUAUUGGGUUUAAAGGGUGCGUAGGCGGAUUGAUAAGUUAGAGGUGAAAUGUCCGAGCUUAACUCGGGAACUGCCUCUAAUACUGUUGGUCUAGAGAGUAGAUGCGGUAGGCGGAAUGUAUGGUGUAGCGGUGAAAUGCUUAGAGAUCAUACAGAACACCGAUUGCGAAGGCAGCUUACCAAUCUAUAUCUGACGUUGAGGCACGAAAGCGUGGGGAGCAAACAGGAUUAGAUACCCCAGUAGUC